rnacentral:rRNA from 1 species
CGGGAGGCAGCACCAGUGAGGAAUAUUGCGCAAUGGGGGGAACCCUGACGCAGCAACGCCGCGUGAGUGAUGAAGGCUUUCGGGUCGUAAAGCUCUGUCAAGUGGGAAGAACCUAUGCAGUGUUAAUAUCACUGUAUACUGACGGUACCACUGAAGGAAGCACCGGCUAACUCCGUGCCAGCAGCCGCGGUAAUACGGGGGGUGCAAGCGUUAUUCGGAAUCAUUGGGCGUAAAGGGCACGUAGGCGGCUUGGUAAGUCAGAUGUGAAAGCCCGGGGCUUAACCCCGGAAGUGCAUUUGAUACUGUCAGGCUUGAGUAUGGGAGAGGGAAGUGGAAUUCCUGGUGUAGAGGUGAAAUUCGUAGAUAUCAGGAGGAACACCGGUGGCGAAGGCGACUUCCUGGACCAAUACUGACGCUGAGGUGCGAAGGCGUGGGUAGCAAACAGGAUUAGAUACCCCCGUAGUC